rnacentral:rRNA from 1 species
ACGAACGCUGGCGGCGUGCUUAACCCAUGCAAGUCGAACGGAAAGGCUCCAGCUUGCUGGAGUACUCGAGUGGCGAACGGGUGAGUAACACGUGGGUGAUCUGCCCUGCACUUCGGGAUAAGCCUGGGAAACUGGGUCUAAUACCGGAUAGGACCGCACUUUGGUGUGUGUGGUGGAAAGGUUUUUCUGGUGUGGGAUGAGCUCGCGGCCUAUCAGUUUGUUGGUGGGGUAAUGGCCUACCAAGACGGCGACGGGUAGCCGGCCUGAGAGGGUGGACGGUCACAUUGGGACUGAGAUACGGCCCAGACUCCUACGGGAGGCAGCAGUGGGGAAUAUUGCACAAUGGGGGAAACCCUGAUGCAGCGACGCCGCGGGGGGGAUGAAGGCCUUCGGGUUGUAAACUCCUUUCGCUAGGGACGAAGCUUUUUGUGACGGUACCUGGAGAAGAAGCACCGGCUAACUACGUG